GACGAACGCUGGCGGCGCGCCUAACACAUGCAAGUCGAACGGAGUCACGAGGAGCUUGCUUUUCUUGACUUAGUGGCGAACGGGUGAGUAACGCGUGAGUAACCUGCCCUGGAGUGGGGGACAACAGUUGGAAACGACUGCUAAUACCGCAUAAGCUCACGGAUCCGCAUGGAUCUGCGGGAAAAGGAUUUAUUCGCUUCAGGAUGGACUCGCGUCCAAUUAGCUAGUGGGUGAGGUAACGGCACAGCAAGGCGGCGAAUGGUAGCCGGACGGAGGGGUGGAACGGCCAGAUUGGGAAUGAGACACGGCCCAGACUCCUACGGGAGGCAGCAGUGGGGGAUAUUGCACAAUGGGGGAAACCCUGAUGCAGCGACGCCGCGUGGAGGAAGAAGGUGUUCGGAUUGUAAACUCCUGUCGGAAGGGACGAGAAUGACGGUACCUGACAAGAAAGCACCGGCUAACUACGUG
rnacentral:rRNA from 1 species